UGUGGUGUAGCUCAGUGGUAGAGGGCUUGCCUUACAUGGCUGAGACCCUAGGUUCAAUCCCCAGCACUGCAG
rnacentral:tRNA from 1 species